AAACACGAAAUCGGAAGAUCUACAACUAUAUAUUUGCUUUGUUUUUUGUCCAGGGGAGCCAUAAUUUUUCAUAGGAGGAUCGAAUUCCAGCAUCAGAGAUAAAGUUGUGUUCCAUUUUAUAUUCCAUUCCAUUUGUAUUUGAUAUUGUGAGCUCUAAGUGUAGAGGUCUGAGCCGCAAAGCUUUACCUUGCCUGUCGAGUCAUUAAAGAUAAAUCUGAGUAUAGCUUCAUAUCUUUGAAUUGUGAAUCUGGAGCUGGA